UACGAAGGGGGCUAGCGUUGUUCGGAAUCACUGGGCGUAAAGCGCACGCAGGCGGAUUUGUAAGUCAGGGGUGAAAUCCCGGGGCUCAACCUCGGAACUGCCUUUGAUACUGCAAGUCUCGAGUUCGGGAGAGGUGAGUGGAAUUCCUAGUGUAGAGGUGAAAUUCGUAGAUAUUAGGAAGAACACCAGUGGCGAAGGCGGCUCACUGGCCCGAUACUGACGCUGAGGUGCGAAAGCGUGGGGAGCAAACAGG
rnacentral:rRNA from 1 species